UUCGGAUUGUAGUCUGCAACCCGACUACAUGAAGCUGGAAUCGCUAGUAAUCGCGGAUUAGAAUGCCGCGGUGAAUACGUUCCCGGGUCUUGUACACACCGCCCGUCACACCAUGGGAGCCGGGAAUGCCCGAAGUCGGUGACCUAACCUUUAAGGGGGGAGCCGCCGAAGGCAGGUCUGGUAACUGGGGUGAAGUCGUAACAAGGUAGC
rnacentral:rRNA from 1 species